rnacentral:rRNA from 1 species
CUACGGGCUGCAGCAGUGAGGAAUAUUGCACAAUGGGGGGAACCCUGAUGCAGCAACGCCGCGUGGAGGAUGACGCAUUUCGGUGCGUAAACUCCUUUUAUAUGUCAAGAAAAUGACGGUAGCAUAUGAAUAAGCACCGGCUAACUCCGUGCCAGCAGCCGCGGUAAUACGGAGGGUGCAAGCGGUACUCGGAAUCACUGGGCGUAAAGGACGCGUAGGGGGGUUGGAAAGUCAGGUGUGAAAUCCUACAGCUUAACUGUAGAACUGCACUUGAAACUUCUAAUCUAGAGUAUGGGAGGGGGAGAUGGAAUUAGUGGUGUAGGGGUAAAAUCCGUAGAUAUCACUAGGAAUACCUAAAGCGAAGGCGAUCUCCUGGAACAUUACUGACGCUAAGGCGUGAAAGCGUGGGGAGCAAACAGGAUUAGAUACCCCAGUAGUC